rnacentral:piRNA from 1 species
UUCCAUUUUAUUUCUGAGGUUACUAUAG